rnacentral:rRNA from 1 species
GGCUCAGUAACACGUCGGUAACCUACCCUCGGGAGGGGGAUAACCCCGGGAAACUGGGGCUAAUCCCCCAUAGGCCUGAGGUACUGGAAGGUCCUCAGGCCGAAAGGGACUUUGUCCGCCCGAGGAUGGGCCGGCGGCCGAUUAGGUAGUUGGUGGGGUAAUGGCCCACCAAGCCGAAGAUCGGUACGGGCUGUGAGAGCAGGAGCCCGGAGAUGGACACUGAGACACGGGUCCAGGCCCUACGGGGCGCAGCAGGCGCGAAACCUCCGCAAUGCGGGAAACCGCGACGGGGGGACCCCGAGUGCCGUGGCAACGCCACGGCUUUUCCGGAGUGUAAAAAGCUCCGGGAAUAAGGGCUGGGCAAGGCCGGUGGCAGCCGCCGCGGUAAUACCGGCGGCCCGAGUGGUGGCCGCUAUUAUUGGGCCUAAAGC